rnacentral:rRNA from 1 species
CCUACGGGGGGCAGCAGUGGGGAAUAUUGGACAAUGGGCGAAAGCCUGAUCCAGCCAUGCCGCGUGUGUGAAGAAGGCCUUCGGGUUGUAAAGCACUUUCAGUGGGGAAGAAAGCCUUGGGGCUAAUACCCUCGAGGAAGGACAUCACCCACAGAAGAAGCACCGGCUAACUCCGUGCCAGCAGCCGCGGUAAUACGGAGGGUGCGAGCGUUAAUCGGAAUUACUGGGCGUAAAGCGCGCGUAGGCGGUCUGAUAAGCCGGUUGUGAAAGCCCCGGGCUCAACCUGGGAACGGCAUCCGGAGAGGCGAGGCAAGAGUGCAGGAGAGGAAGGGAGAAUCCCGGGUGUCGCGGUGAAAGGCGGAGAGAGGGGGAGGAAUACCAGUGGAGAAGGCGGCCUUCUGGACUGACACUGACGCUGGGGUGCGAAAGGGUGGGUAGCAAAGAGGAGUGAAAACCCUAGUAGUC